rnacentral:rRNA from 1 species
AGUGAACGCUGGCGGUAGGCCUAACACAUGCAAGUCGAACGGCAUCACAGUAAUUGCUUGCUCUUACGGGUGGCGAGUGGCGGACGGUUGAGGAAUACAUCGGAAUCUACUUUUUCAUGGGGGAUAACGUAGGGAAACUUACUCUAAUACCGCAUACGACCUACGGGUGAAAGCAGGGGAUCUUCUGACCUUGCGCGGUUGAAUGAGCCGAUGUCGGAUUAGCUAGUUGGCGGGGUAGAGGCACACCAAGGCCACGAUCGGUAGCUGGUCUGAGAGGAUGAACAGCCAGACUGGAACAGAGAAACGGCCCAGACUCCUAGGGGAGGCAGCAGUGGGGAAUCUUGGGCGAUGGGGCAAAGCCUGAUCCAGCGAUACGGGGGGAGGGCUGAAGGACUCCGGCUUGUUGAGCCAUUUUGGUGUGAAAAAAAAAAAAUACUUUAACCCCCGGCUGUUAUGACGGUACCCAAAGAAGAAGCCCCGGCUAACUUCGUG